AGCGAACGCUGGCGGCAGGCCUAACACAUGCAAGUCGAACGAACCCUUCGGGGUUAGUGGCGGACGGGUGAGUAACACGUGGGAACGUGCCUUUAGGUUCGGAAUAACAGUUGGAAACGACUGCUAAUACCGGAUGAUGACGAAAGUCCAAAGAUUUAUCGCCAGAGGAUGAGCCCGCGUAGGAUUAGCUAGUUGGUGUGGUAAAGGCGCACCAAGGCGACGAUCCUUAGCUGGUCUGAGAGGAUGAUCAGCCACACUGGGACUGAGACACGGCCCAGACUCCUACGGGAGGCAGCAGUGGGGAAUAUUGGACAAUGGGCGAAAGCCUGAUCCAGCAAUGCCGCGUGAGUGAUGAAGGCCUUAGGGUUGUAAAGCUCUUUUACCCGGGAUGAUAAUGACAGUACCGGGAGAAUAAGCUCCGGCUAACUCCGUGCCAGCAGCCGCAGUAACAC
rnacentral:rRNA from 1 species